rnacentral:sRNA from 12 species
UAGCAAGGCUUGCGCUCAAGCUCUCGGUACGUCGGACGGUGCCCCGGCGUCAGACAUAUCCUGCGGAUAUGGCAUCGUUACGGAACUGCGCACACUGAGCAGAUCCACACGGCGCAGGCU